AUACGGAGGGUGCGAGCGUUAAUCGGAAUUACUGGGCGUAAAGGGCGCGUAGGCGGCUUGAUAAGUCGGAUGUGAAAGCCCCGGGCUUAACCUGGGAAUUGCAUUCGAUACUGUCAGGCUAGAGUAUGUCAGAGGUUGGCGGAAUUCCUGGUGUAGCGGUGAAAUGCGUAGAUAUCAGGAGGAACACCAGUGGCGAAGGCGGCUAACUGGGACAAUACUGACGCUGAGGCACGAAAGCGUGGGGAGCAAACAGGAGUAGAAACCCUAGUAGUCC
rnacentral:rRNA from 1 species